GGUCCGUUCAUCUAAGGGUUAGGAUACAAGAUUUUCAUUCUUGUCAUAGGGGUUCGAAUCCCCUACGGACUA
rnacentral:tRNA from 1 species